rnacentral:lncRNA from 1 species
GACAACAACGUUAUCUGCUGAAGUUGACAAAGACGUUUCUCCUUGUGUUUGCACUUGUUUUUCCUUUCUGAACCUAAAGACAUAAACAAACGCGGAAACUGCAAGCAAAACAAUACCGGUUGCUCCACACACCAAGCUGGAAAUCAAUAAUGCUCCCCUCACGUUAUCUUUACUGCUGUGGUGAACUGGCAUUCCUCCUCUGUCGCCGCCAAUCCACGUCAAGUUCUUUGCAAUCGGCAGCGCCACCGGCGGCUGAGCAUUCCGUCGGCCACCGCCGCCAAAGAAUGAGAGCAUCUCCGGAACGUCGUCGUUUGUUGUUGGUGUGGAUGAAAAGUCUUGAUUUGUCAACCCGUGCUCCGCUGGACGGAGCUCUCUACCGUUGGAUUGCAAAGACAUUAUGGACAAUAAUAUCAUAAAUGUGAUGAUAACAACGUUUUGGAAAUAUUGCCUCAUUGUAAUUUUCCAGGUGUGGUGUUAUUUAAGGUUUGUGUCUCUCUCUUGAUUGUAGAAUGAAAAAAAGUGGUAAUACUGAUAUAUGAAAUUUUUUGUUGUGUGCUAUAAAUGAAGUGGGAGGUCAUGUGGUAGUUAGCCAGUUUGUCAAAUUCCAUAAUCCAUACAAAGGACGCGUGAUU